rnacentral:rRNA from 1 species
CCUACGGGAGGCAGCAGUCGGGAAUUUUGGGCAAUGGGCGAAAGCCUGACCCAGCAACGCCGCGUGAAGGAUGAAGCUUUUCGGAGUGUAAACUUCAUAAGAAUGGGACGAAUAAGGAGGGGAUAAUACCCCCUUUGAUGACGGUACCAUUUGUAAGCUCCGGCUAACUCCGUGCCAGCAGCCGCGGUAAUACGGGGGGAGCAAGCGUUGUUCGGAUUUACUGGGCGUAAAGGGCGCGUAGGCGGCGCAACAAGUCACUUGUGAAAUCUCCGGGCUUAACCCGGAGCGGCCAAGUGAUACUGUCGUGCUAGAGUGCGGAAGGGGCUACUGGAAUUCUCGGUGUAGCGGUGAAAUGCGUAGAUAUCGAGAGGAACACCUGCGGCGAAGGCGGGUAGCUGGGCCGACACUGACGCUGAGGCGCGAAAGCCAGGGGAGCGAAC